rnacentral:rRNA from 1 species
ACCCGAAACCAGGUGAUCUACCCAUGUCCAGGGUGAAGUUCAGGUAACACUGAAUGGAGGCCCGAACCCACGCACGUUGAAAAGUGCGGGGAUGAGGUGUGGGUAGCGGAGAAAUUCCAAUCGAACCGACAGAU